CCUACGGGGGGCAGCAGUGAGGAAUAUUGGUCAAUGGUCGGGAGACUGAACCAGCCAAGCCGCGUGAGGGAUGAAGGUACAGAGUAUCGUAAACCUCUUUUGCCAGGGAACAAAGGCGGGGACGUGUCCCCGGAUGAGUGUACCUGAAGAACAAGCAUCGGCUAACUCCGUGCCAGCAGCCGCGGUAAUACGGAGGAGGCGAGCGUUAUCCGGAUUUAAUGGGUUGAAAGGGUGCGCAGGCGGUGUGUUAAGUCCGGGGGCAAAGCCCGGGGCUCAACCCCGGCCCCGCCGUUGAAACUGGCAGUCUCGAGUUGGAGAGAGGUAUGCGGAAUGCGCGGUGUAGCGGUGAAAUGCAUAGAUAUCGCGCAGAACUCCGAUUGCGAAGGCAGCAUGCCGGAUCCACACUGACGCUGAGGCACGAAAGCGUGGGUAUCGAACAGGAUUAGAUACCCUUGUAGUC
rnacentral:rRNA from 1 species